rnacentral:antisense_RNA from 1 species
GUUCAUGGCGGACGGUGCGUGGGGAUCUCUCGAUCCGCCGGCUUCUUGCAUCAUGUAUCCGGCACGCCAACCCGCACCGUCCGCCACCUUG